UACGAAGGGGCUAGCGUUGCUCGGAAUCACUGGGCGUAAAGGGUGCGUAGGCGGGUCUUAAGUCAGGGGUGAAAUCCUGGAGCUCAACUCCAGAACUGCCUUUGAUACUGAGGAUCUUGAGUUCGGGAGAGGUGAGUGGAACUGCGAGUGUAGAGGUGAAAUUCGUAGAUAUUCGCAAGAACACCAGUGGCGAAGGCGGCUCACUGGCCCGAUACUGACGCUGAGGCACGAAAGCUAGGGGAGCAAACAGG
rnacentral:rRNA from 1 species